CUGUGCAUAACCUCAAUUUUGUAUUCCCAGAGCAGGGUCUCAACUGCCUGUUAGUUUUGACUCAUCUCAGACCUGUGGACUUCCCUUGACUAGAGAGUUGUGUAGAACUAUUGAUCAGUCAUUUACAACCUUACAUUAAGGAUGCUCAGGAAAACAACUCAGGCUGUUAUGCUGAAGCUGGAGACUCCUGAAUAACUCUGCUCUUUCAGACAGAUCAAGUUGCACAUGUUUGAGCCUGCCAUACUUCUUCAAUAAAACAAACUGUAAUCGCUUUGAAGUGGAAGAUGUUUCAAGCGAUACAAAGAACCAGCUGUCCACGAUGACGGAGAAACACUGGUGUAGCAUGGUCUAGUCUAAACGGGCUGAAGUAUCUUUCUUGGACUCACUGGGCAUCACACUGUUGGCAGUUCUGCCAGUGAACAUCAAAAGGCUCAGCCUCCAGCUUGGUGGCUUGGAAACAGCUCCCUAGAAGCUCUUAUCAUCUUUAUGCCAGAUGUUUAACAGAAACUAAGCAGCCCAUGGACCUUCAGUAAGACAGAGCAGGAAUUUCUGCCCCAGUUAACUCUGUUCAACCCCAGGGAGGGAUGGACGCCUCUGAACAAUACAGCUAGGACACACAGCAAAUCCAGUCUCAUCUUUCAUUUCUGCUCUGUAUCCACACACAACCAGAAAGUACAAGUACUGAGAGCACGAAUCACCACCUACUGCCUAUUCUGUGCUCAGUUUUUACCAGAGACUAAGUUUUCUAAAGCAAGAUGCAGUAAAGCUUGAAGUCAGAACCUCCAACUCACAGUAAAAAGCACUCAGUACUUUUUUUUAAACACAGCUACGUUGUAUUUUGUCUGAAUGGGACAAACCCUGACUGGGCACAUUCCCAAAAUGAUGGUGGUAAACAUGGUUUGAUGGAGAAGUGCAGUGUCUACAGGUCUGUGAACAUUCACCAGGAGUCCCAACAAGUCAUCACCUUGGCCUAGAAACACCAGUUUGCAUUUGUGUGUUCUUGUACGACACAUCACACGCUCACACCAGGCAGACAAGCAUGCGCGUCUCCCACGCAGCAGUAAAGACAAGUACAGCAGCGUUCUCACAAGCAUUUCAGAAGACAUGAUCUUGUUACACAGCUCCAACUGCAGGCUUCAAAACAAGCAACGUCCUACACCAAUGUGUGGAAAAAAGACAGAGGCUCCAUCUGCCUCAACCUGCAGCCUUACAAAUACUUAAGAAGGACAGACAAUGGAUUUAUCUUUCCUAAGGUUUGUGAGCCCUACUGCUCCAAUCCCUGCCCUAAUCCUACAUCUCGCAAGAAGGGGUCACAGAUCACUUGUUGCAAGAGACUGAAAAUCCUCACAGUCCAAGACAGAACCUUCCUAGGCACAGCUGACAGAAAAUCAGGUGGACAACACACAGUAGACAGCAGCCAGAAGCAGCCACCUUA